UGAUAAACAAUAUCAUUUGAAUCAGAUAAAAGACGUCUGUAAUAAUUUUCUUAUGUUGUUAAAUAAUUUAAGAUGAGCGGAAGGGUAUUUUUGUCCAACUUAUAUAAGUUGAGGAAAGAGAACUAAUUAUACAAAAAUUAUAGGUAUAUUCUUA
rnacentral:sRNA from 1 species